CGCGGCCUAUCAGCUUGUUGGUGGGGUAAUGGCCCACCAAGGCUUCGACGGGUAGCUGGUCUGAGAGGACGAUCAGCCACGCUGGGACUGAGACACGGCCCAGACUCCUACGGGAGGCAGCAGUGGGGAAUCUUGCGCAAUGGGCGAAAGCCUGACGCAGCAACGCCGCGUGGGGGAUGAAGGCUCUCGGGUCGUAAACCCCUUUCAGCAGGGACGAAACUGACGGUACCUGCAGAAGAAGCCCCGGCCAACUACGUGCCAGCAGCCGCGGUAACACGUAGGGGGCAAGCGUUGUCCGGAUUUAUUGGGCGUAAAGAGCUCGUAGGUGGUUCGGUAAGUCAGGUGUGAAACCUCCAGGCUCAACCUGGAGACGCCACUUGAUACUGCUGUGACUGGAGUCCGGUAGGGGAGCGUGGAAUUCCCGGAGUAGCGGUGAAAUGCGCAGAUAUCAGGAGGAACACCAGCGGCGAAGGCGGCGCUCUGGGCCGGUACUGACACUGAGGAGCGAAAGCGUGGGUAGCAAACAGGAUUAGAUACCCUGGUAGUCCACGCCGUAAACGUUGGGCACUAGGUGUGGGUCACAACCAACGUGAUCUGUGCCGUAGCUAACGCAUUUUUUCCCCCGCCUGGGGAGUACGG
rnacentral:rRNA from 1 species